CCAGCGGACGGUGGAGCAUGCUGGGAAAUGUAGUUCUCCAGGGAGCCGCUAGUCCCAAAUUCCUUCCAAUGAGCUACGGGCUCGCAGGGUUUUCUGGCUGCAAUCCUGCGCCGCCUUUCCCCAAUUCAACUAACUUCUGGGGAUUACGUCUGUGCAGGCGGUGCAGUUAUUAGAUUGCACUGUCUGUGAUCCCCUGUACAAAAUGAUGAUGAUGAUACCUUCAGUCGAUUUUAGGGUUGUAUUUUAGUCUUUGACCCUGGCAUGCUGGUUUUGCAUGGUAAUGUUACAGCCCAACGCGGGCAGGCGCAGCAGGUUUAACAUCUCAGUAAGAACCAGGCACCUCGUCGUCACCGGCUGAUGGAAUCGAGCCGCUCAAAUUGUUUUUAUAAAGAGAUUCUGUAUGAAGAAGAGCUGCUGAUAUUCCUGACGAUAGAGACUAUAGCUUCUGGAGAGAGAGAAAACCUGCAGUUUCCAAAACUAUAAUGGAGAUCAGAGCCCUGUAUUUCAAUACCACAGAGCACCUGAAUAUGCCCUUUGCUACCAAAUAUUUUCAGGGCAGGUUCAAUCAGCUGCCCUCCCUCAUCAAUGCCCCUAUGGUUUUAUGCGCUUUGACUUUCACUGCCUCCAUACUGCCAAGUGUCCAAUGGGGUUUCAUUAAAGAGUAUACCCACGUA